UACGUAGGGUGCAAGCGUUGUCCGGAAUUACUGGGCGUAAAGAGCUCGUAGGUGGUUUGUCGCGUUGUUCGUGAAAACUCACAGCUCAACUGUGGGCGUGCGGGCGAUACGGGCAGACUUGAGUACUGCAGAGGAGACUGGAAUUCCUGGUGUAGCAGUGAAAUGCGUAGAUAUCAGGAGGAACACCAAUAGCGAAGGCAGCUCGCUGGGACGGUACUGACGCUGAGGCGCGAAAGCGUGGGGAGCGAACAGG
rnacentral:rRNA from 1 species